rnacentral:misc_RNA from 1 species
AGAGAUUGGGUUUGUUGCUCUUGGAUCUUCAAUUGUGAGUGUUUUGAUUAAAGGAAAAAAUGGAGAAAGUGAAGAAUAUAUUGAAGCCGAAACCAAACCCUCAACAGCUUUUGAGAGAUUGGCAACGUCGCCUCCGUCAAGAGUGCCGAAAUAUCGAACGUCAAAUCCGAGAUAUACAGAGAGAGGAGAAGGUUGUACAGAAAUCAAUUAAAGAAGCUGCUAAGAGAAAUGACAUGGGCUCUGCUAAGUCACUAGCCAAAGAGCUCGUGAGAUCUAAAAGAACUGUGAACCGAUUGUACGAGAACAAAGCGCAGUUGAAUUCGAUAUCCAUGCACCUUGGAGAAAGU